CAAUACCAUGCCAAUUUUCACCUUAAUUCGACUAGUAGAUCUUUAGAUAUCAUAGAAACCCUACCUAACCACAAAUUGCCACCUUUUGAAACCAUCUUGUGCUAAAAACUAGAUAUUUCUAAACCACGCCAUUAGAUUAUCACAAAAAAAUUUAUACACUUAGCACAUUUAAUAAUCCGAACAAUAUCAAAUUUUUAACUAUAGAUGUCAUGUCAAUUGCAUGAACUAGCCAAAAUUAGUAGCCCUGAUUAUAUUAUAUGAAAUCCAAAUCAUUGAUACAAACCCAGACUUUGAAAAAUAAUUUCAAAGUCUUCCAAAAUCCUCUCAAAACAAUUCUUAUGUCUCUAGAAAGAACUUCAAGCUAGCUCUCAAACCCCAACCUCCAAUCUUCAAAUAAAACCCUAUUUUGCCUUAGGC
rnacentral:lncRNA from 1 species